CUCAUAUUUCAGAGGAAAUCGCCAUCUCACUCUUACUUCAUGUGGCUGUCCUUACCACGUGACUAGGUCCGCAUCCAGUGUGUUUUGAGCCCCCAGGUGCUGCCUGAGCCCCUGUUUUAUGAAAAACAAAUUGUUGAAAGGAGAGAAAGUGAAGAACAGUUGAAGAGAGGAAGAGCGGCAGAAACAGCUGCCACUGAGUAGGGAUUGCAUCAUUUUGUUGUAAGUAUCCCUGCUAUAAGCCAUCUUUGUGGAAAGAGAUGGCGCAAAAACAGACGAGUAGACAAA
rnacentral:lncRNA from 1 species